rnacentral:rRNA from 1 species
GACGAACGCUGGCGGCGUGCUUAACACAUGCAAGUCGAACGGACAGGUCAUUCGGGUUACACUAGUGCCGUACGGGCGAGUGACACGGGGACAAGCUGCCCUGCACCCUGGGAUACGCCUGGGAAACUGGGACUAAGACCGGAUAUUCAGUUACUGUCGCAAAGCGGGGGGUGCAAUGUUUAUCGGUGCAGGAUGAGUCCGCGGCCUAUCAGCUUGUUGGUGGGGUAAUGGCCUACAAAGGCGACGACGGGUAGCCGGCCUGAGAGGGUGAUCGGCCACACUGGGACUGAGACACGGCCCAGACUCCUACGGGAGGCAGCAGUGGGGAAUAUUGCACAAUGGGCGAAAGCCUGAUGCAGCGACGCCGCGUGAGGGAUGACGGUCUUCGGAUUGUAAACCCCUUUCAGUAGGGACGAAGCGCAAGUGACGGUACCUGCAGAAGAAGCACCGGCCAACUACGUG